GAUCAAAGUCACAGGUGUCGGACAGGAUCAAGGUCACAGGUGUCGUACAGGAUCAAAGUCACAGGUGUCGGACAGGAUCAAGGUCACAGGUGUCAGACAGGAUCAAAGUCACAGGUGUUGGACAGGAUCAAGGUCACAGGUGUCGGACAGGAUCAAGGUCACAGGUGUCGGACAGGAUCAAGGUCACAGGUGUCAGACAGGAUCAAAGUCACAGGUGUCGGACAGGAUCAAGGUCACAGGUGUCAGACAGGAUCAAAGUCACAGGUGUCGGACAGGAUCAAGGUCACAGGUGUCAGACAGGAUCAAAGUCACAGGUGUCGGACAGGAUCAAGGUCACAGGUGUCAGACAGGAUCAAAGUCACAGGUGUUGGACAGGAUCAAGGUCACAGGUGUCGGACAGGAUCAAGGUCACAGGUGUCGGACAGGAUCAAGGUCACAGGUGUCGGACAGGAUCAAGGUCACAGGUGUCAGUACAGGAUCAAAGUCCUGUUAGUGUGACACUAACCACACAUAUGCAGGAAACCAUAUUUAAGUUAUUGGGUUUGAGAACAACAUCUUCACACCUCCCAUCCAACCCAGCCCACUGACUGACAUCACACCUCUGGAAACCCCAUUAACAACUCCUCCCAGCAAUCAAGUUGCACUCACGAUUUGUGAAGAGGAUGUGUAUCGGCUCUUUCAGAGACAGAAGACAAGGAAAGCUCCUGGACUAGACUGGGUCUCCCCCUCCUGUCUCAAAGCAUGUGCUGAUCAACUGACUCCUAUCUUCACCCAUAUCUUCAACAGAUCUCUGGAGUCCCCUCCUGCUUUAAACUCUCUACAAUCAUCCCGGUCCCCAAGAAACCCUCCAUCACUGGACUGAAUGACUACAGGCCUGUCGCUCUGACAUCUGUUGUCAUGAAGACCUUUGAACAGCUGGUAUUGGCCCGCCUAAAGACUGAAACAGAACAGAUGCUGGAUCCCCUACAGUUUGCCUACCAUGCAAACAGAUCAGUGGACGACGCAGUCAACACUGGACUGCACUACAUUUUGCAACACCUGGACUGCCCAGGGACAUAUGCCCAGAUUCUGUUUGUUGUCUUCAGUUCGGAUUUUAAUACUAUAAUUCCGGAAAUUCUCCACUCCAAACUCCUAAGGCUCACAAUACCCCUUCCAUCUGUCAGUGGAUCACCAGCUUCCUGACAGACAGGAAACAACAGGUGAGACUGGGAGGUCAGUGUUGUAGUACUCGAGACUCGGACUCGGUCUUGGACUCGGUCUUGGACUCGGUCUCGAGACCAUGUUUUAAUGAUCUUGGUCUUGUCAUGGACUCGUGAACAUUUUGACUCGGUCUCGACUCGUACUCGAAUACAUUUGGAAUCGGACUUAUUCUAGAGUCCACACGAGUCCCUAUUAAAAUAUAUAUUACUGUUUCUUUAAACUGAUGUAAGAUUGACACGAACAGUGAUUGGUGAUUUUUUGCACGCAUCAGACUGGCGCGAGGUCAGAUGGUGCAAGCCAUUACAGGUCUUGACUACAGAAUUUUGGCAGAAGUCUGUGUUAAAGACUCUGAAAACGUGAUGUUUACUCUCCGUGAAUGGAAAAAACUUCAAGAGCUGAGUGCAUUUCUAGGACCAUUCUCAGAGGCAGCUGACCUAACACAAGGUGAAAAGUCUGUGACUAUAAGCAUGGUGGUUCCUACUGUUUUGGACCUAAACGCACAUCUUCUGAAAAUGGGAGAGACAAGAUCCCAGUGCCAGCCUUUAAUUAAGGCCUUCACACCUCUCUACAAAGAAGAUUUUCAGGAAUAUUUGUGAAAGCUAAAAUGGCCAUGGAGUGUGAAGAACCCAUGCCUUUUUACCAAGAUGUGUACUUUCUUUCUGCAAUGCUUGAUCCACAAUUUGGUCUUAACUGGGUGGAUUUAGAUGUUACCACCACGAUGCCACAUCACUAAAGAAGUUCAGAGAAGAUGUAAAGAGGACUCUGACCAAUACAUUGAUCUCGGCCGUUGAGAGUAUGGCAGAGGGUGACACUUCUCAGCAGCCGAAUGCAGAUGAUUCUUCACAAAAAGAUUCUCCACCAAUCAAAUUGCCACGGCUAGUAGCCCGCUACAAAGCCCACAAAAGCCAGCGCAACCUUACAGUGGAUGCCAGUGUCUCUGAUUAGAUAAGCAAAUACUUCACUGACAUUCAGGAUCCAUGUACAGCACUUGUCUUCUGGUCUAAAAACAUAGGACAAAUAUCCCCAACUGCAUACAAUAGCAGUAAAACCUUUGUCAGUCCCCGCUUCUUCUGCACCAGUGGAGAGAAUUUUUAGUCGGGGUGGAUUAAUCAUGAGGCCACAUCGUACUCGUCUGGGUUACAGGAUGGUGUCCUCACUUAUCUAUUUGAAAAGCAAUUAUACCCAUCUGUAAUCUUCAAAACUUUUAUAAAUGCACAUAAUUCAAGGCAAAUUCAGUAGUUAACCUUUGAAAGUUAAAAGUUGUUAUAUUUUAGUUUAACAUAUGGUACAGUAAUGUUAUGUGUACUAGAAUUGUCAUGUAGGCUAGUAAAGUGGUACAGUUGUGUUAUGUACUGGUGGUACUGGCUGUAAUUUUUUGUAAUAAAAUUGUCUUUAUACGUCA